rnacentral:rRNA from 1 species
GACGAACGCUGGCGGCGUGCCUAAUACAUGCAAGUCGAGCGGAUCAAAGGGAGCUUGCUCCCAGAGAUUAGCGGCGGACGGGUGAGUAACACGUGGGCAACCUGCCCUGUAGACUGGAAUAACACCGAGAAAUCGGUGCUAAUACCGGAUAACACCUUUCUUCUCAUGGAGGAAGGGUAAAAGUUGGGAUUACUAACACUACAGGAUGUGCCGGCGGCGCAUUAGCUAGUUGGUAAGGUAAUGGCUUACCAAGGCGACGAUGCGUAGCCGACCUGAGAGGGUGAUCGGCCACACUGGGACUGAGACACGGCCCAGACUCCUACGGGAGGCAGCAGUAGGGAAUCUUCCGCAAUGGACGAAAGUCUGACGGAGCAACGCCGCGUGAGUGAUGAAGGUUUUCGGAUCGUAAAGCUCUGUUGUUAGGGAAGAACAAGUGCCGUUCGAAUAGGUCGGCACCUUGACGGUACCUAACCAGAAAGCCACGGCUAACUACGUGCCAGCCGCCGCGGUAA